CUAUGAAUGAUCAAGUUGAUGCCAGCAAUGAAAGUGACAUGGGAAAUUCAAUGGAUGAAUUUUAUGGAUUGAUGGUCCACCGUGAUAUAUAGAAGUAUCAAGUAUCAAGAGGCAGUGUAAGAGCUGAUGAAGAAUGGUAUCCAUUCAAACAAUGAUUGUGUCCCUCGAUUGAAGAUAAAUAAAUAUUAUGUUUUCUAGUUGUCUCGUUUUCCAAAUAGAUAUGAUCAAGUCCAUUGGUCAUAUAAGGAUUGCUUUUGACUCAAAUUUCUGAAAUGAUAUUUUUUCAGAAUUGUAUGUCGGAAUAUUGGUAUUUGUAUCUAUUAAUGAAAGAGGCUAUGACCCUUACAA